rnacentral:lncRNA from 1 species
UUCCCACUCAGCACACGUGCACGUGUGUGUGUGUACUACAUGAACACUUAAUAUUUAGUUACUCGAUUGUUUGUUGUUCCCUCCCGAUCACUGCGACGAGCUCCUCUCCCCUCCAGAUUUCAGAUUUCCCUCCUCACACACACAACUCCUUCCCCCGCCUCCCGACCAACCCCCACUCCCCGGAGGGAAGGAGGGCAGGCGCCGUACCUGGCGCCCUCUGCCCGGGGAGGAGCGCUCCUCUCCAUCCCGGUGGCACCGGCAGCGGCACCACGAGCAGCAUUGUUCUAAAGUGGAGUCAUGGCUCUUCCGCGCCUCGCCCUACUAUGACAAGUGACAUAUUUUGGUACAGUCCUUGUGGACAGAUGUGUGAUGAUGCUCUGUGGGGCUUCGGUGUGAUAGUAGAGGUGGCAGCAGCUCUCCAAUCACCACGCUGCUGCCCUUCAUGGUGUCGGGAUCCCAGGAGGACUUUGGCUUAAGGUGAGCUCAAUGGCAGCGAUACUUUAGAAUGAGAUCUUUGGGAAGCUUUUGAAUCCUUGCUUGCGUAUGUCUGGUUGGCAGGCAAAGUGAGGCCAAAUCUGUAUAAAAACAUAGGCAGAUGCAUUGAGUUGGGUGCAGGUGAACCUAACACAGAACUGAGAGAGCAGGUACUGAAGAAGGAAAAUCUGCAUCUGCUCUGUAUUGUCUUCCAUUUCAAAAGGAAAAUUUGGGUGAUAACUUUGGGACUUCAGGAAUUUGGUGCUUGAAUUGUACACUGAGGAUUGCUGUGGUUCCUAAACCCAGCAGUUACUCAACCAUGUGCUGUGAAUAGAAGAAGAGAACAGUCUGUGACACCUGAAAUUACCAACUUUAGUGUUAGCAUUACCAAGAGGACAAAAGAAAGAGCAAGUAUUUAUAGAUCAGAGAACAGUAAUAAUGCUCAGUGACUGAUGGGAUGACUUAUAAGGAGCAAAACAGCUGAAAAGAAUAACAAGUACCUGCAAAUGUGCUUCUGAAUUAGAAUUAUAAUGUUUCACAGAACUGAUAUUUAGGGGUAGAAGAAUCUUUUGCUUGUUACAGGGUAGAGCCAUUUGCAGUGGGGAGUAAACAGGAUCAAAUUAAGGAAAGCAGAAAUUAGGCUGAGUGUCAGACAGUCUCAACUGAAAAUUAUUUGACUGUGAAUGAACUUCCCAAGGGAAAUAAUACAAGCUACAUUAUUUGGGACAUCUAAAAUUAGACUUCAGAAAGCACUAUAAAGCUGUACAACCUUGCUUUGGUGGGGAGGUGGACUAGAAAAGGCAGAUCUUGAGGUUUUCCUUUUUUUGCAAUAAAUUUUGAGAUU